CAGUGCUGAUCAGCCCAAUGUCUUCGGACUAUUGCUAGGAUUUUUCUUUUUCCUUCAGCUACCGCCUGGCUCCUUCAACCUUGGUUUCUCAUCCAAGUCAUAUCUUUGGCUUUCUUUUUCUCUCUUUAGGGGUUUGGUUGAAAAUUUUCCAAUGUCGCGGCAGAAGAUUCAGAUCAAGAAGAUUGACAACACAGCAGCAAGGCAAGUGACCUUCUCAAAGAGGAGAAGAGGGCUUUUUAAGAAAGCACAGGAGCUCUCAACACUGUGUGAUGCUGAGAUAGCGCAUAUUGUCUUCUCAGCAGCAGGAAUGUUCUUUGAGUAUUCAAGCUCAAGGGUUUGGUUGAAAAUUUCCAAUGUCGCGGCAGAAGAUUCAGAUCAAGAAGAUUGACAACACAGCAGCAAGGCAAGUGACCCUCUCAAAGAGGAGAAGAGGGCUUUUUAAGAAAGCACAGGAGCUCUCAACACUGUGUGAUGCUGAGAUAGCGCAUAUUGUCUUCUCAGCAGCAGGAAAGUUCUUUGAGUAUUCAAGCUCAAGGGUUUGGUUGAAAAUUUUCCAAUGUCGCGGCAGAAGAUUCAGAUCAAGAAGAUUGACAACACAGCAGCAAGGCAAGUGACCUUCUCAAAGAGGAGAAGAGGGCUUUUUAAGAAAGCACGGGAGCUCUUAACACUGUGUGAUGCUGAGAUAGCGCAUAUUGUCUUCUCAGCAGCAGGAAAGUUCUUUGAGUAUUCAAGCUCAAGGGUUUGGUUGAAAAUUUCCAAUGUCGCGGCAGAAGAUUCAGAUCAAGAAGAUUGACAACACAGCAGCAAGGCAAGUGACCUCCUCAAAGAGAAGAAGAGGGCUUUUUAAGAAAGCACAGGAGCUCUCAACACUGUGUGAUGCUGAGAUAGCGCAUAUUGUCUUCUCAGCAGCAGGAAAGCUCUUUGAGUAUUCAAGCUCAAGCAAUAAAUCCAUUAUGCUGACAACCGAUACUAUAUGCCCAUCCAUAAUGAUGUCGGUAACAACUAAGUUCAGUAUUCAAUGCUUGUAGCCCAGGUUUCCAAAAUGGGAGUAACAAGCAUUUUGGUAGGCAAUGGGUUAAAUAUUGGAGCAUUAAGCCAAGGGCUCACGAAAUUCUCUCAGAACUCAGCUUCAUCUGGAAACACCAAACGGAACUGAAUGCUAUUUUGGAAAAGAUUGUUCCCAGAUGUAAUUCUUAUAUGUGGUUGCUUAUGGCAUAUACCUAUCAUAUGAUCUUAAAAUUCCAAUUACACUCUAAAAUCAUAUGCAACCUAGCAUGCUAAAGUCAUAAUGACAACACUCAACACCAUUGGUAUUCUAUCUUUCCUUUGUUUUUCUGCACUUUGACCAAUUUAGUGUGAUUCAAAAACAAGAUAGCAGAUGCCCCUUCUUUUUCCAUUCACCUCAUUCACCUAAUUAAAUUUAAAAUACAUUAAUUUUAUUCA